rnacentral:lncRNA from 1 species
UACUUGUUAGCUAUCUUACUGGCUUAGGAGUAGUUUUAUUUGAUAUCUUUGUGGUGAUCUGUCAAUCUCCUGAUGGUUAAAAAAAGUUUCCACAAAGUUGUUCUCUAACCCCUGCAUGUAUAUACCACAUGCUGCAUGAGUACUCAUACGCAAGUGAAAAUUAAACAAACUUACCUGGGCUGGAGAUAACGCAGCAGUUUAGAGCACUGGCUGUUCUUCCGAAGGACCUGUGUCUGAUUCCUCGCACCCUUAUGGCUCACAGCCAUCUGGAACUCUAGUUCCAGAGGAUCUGAUGCUCUCUACUGGCCACCAUUGGCAACCAGGCAGAGCACUCAGUCAUUCAGGAAGAUUAGAGUGUACAGAAGAACCUAGAAGCUUCCAGAUCUAGGUCAGGGAUAGUUAGAUUAGAGGAGAUGCUCUAGGCUCAGCCCACGCCAUGUAUUCACGUAGUUUGGGUACAGCUCUCAUCUCAUCACUUCAUGUGAAGAACUAAAAGUGACAUUUACACCUAAGGCCCAUAGCCAGCCACUGUAGCCUAUUUGUUAUCUCCAGGCCAAUGAGAGACCUUGUUUGGAAGGAGGUAGAUGACAUUCCUAAGGAUGACACCCAUUCGUACUCAAACAAGAAGCAGACACACAGAUACAUGUAUGCAUUACACAUGCAUUGAACAAAAAAUGAGAACAAUAGUUACUGAGAUGUAGUUACUCAUCAGAAGGGGGCAUUUCAAGUAAGAUUUUUCAGGAGAUUAAGAUUUUAGAGUACAUAUUGUGGGCAUAGAAUUUUUCUUUGUGAUGACAGAGCAAAAUAGAGGAUAGCUAGCUAAUAGUAGUGGGGCAGUUUAUUUAUUUUCAGAAUGAACAGAGAGGCUGCUAUCAUCUAGGUUAUGGUCUUGAAUUUUGCCUCUCACCAAUUGUGUUCCUUGGAGAAAUGGCUGGUUCUAGGUUCAGGGGCAGGAAAUGUGUGAGAUGAGCCUAGCAUACUCUGUCAGACAGCAAUGAUUUGUAUAAUACAUAUCUGAGUUCCCUCUGAAAGACUUGGGAAUCAAUAGAAGGCAUCUCACUGACCAAAAUAAGACAUUUAAUAUUAUAGAGAGAGUUGCAUAGGCCAGAAUAUUAAAUAUGUUUGAUUUGUGGUAUCAUAAUGAUAGUUUACUGAGCAAGAACAAGCUUAUAGGUGAAUCUAUAGGUGAAUUUGAGAAAACUAAUGAAACAGUCCAUUUUGAAAGAAAAAAAGCUAUUCCUCAUGGCCCAAGCUGUCAGUUUCACUUACUAGGGAGGCUGAUGCAGGGGGAUCACAUGUUCAAAGACUCCAUGAGUAAGAGACUGGCUACUGGACAGCCUGAUCAACUUAGACCCUAUUCCAACCAUGAUGUCCCCCUACCCAUAAAACGUUGGUGUAGAAAGAUUUUUAGUGUAAGUGGAAUGAUAGAUAGUUUUGUUUGUUUUGAGUUAGGGUAUCUCUGUGUAGCCCAAGCUGUCCUGGUACUCAGUCUGCCUGACUCUGCCUCCCAAGUGUUGGGAUUAUAGGUGCACACCACUACUGCCUGGCAAAUGUAUAUUUUCUUAUUCUUUUUCUUUUUCUUUUUUCUUUUCUUUUUUUAAUUAAGGGGCUUUUUUUUUUUAAUAAGUACACUGUAGCUGUUUCAGAUGGUUGUGAGCCAUCAUGUGGUUGCUGGGAAGCUCUUCUUACCUGCUGAGCCAUCUCACCAGCCCUCAAAUGUACAUUUUCAAUGCUGCACAUUUGAUAAUACUUUCUUUUUAAUAAGCAAUAGUGCCAUGUGUAGUGGUACGCACCUUUAAUCCCAGCAUUCCUGGUGUAUAGGCAGGUGAAGCUCUGAGAGUUCAAGCCUAGCAUGGUUGGUCUAAUAUACUGAGUUCUAGAACAGCAGCCAGGACUGCAUAAUGAGACCCUGUCUAAAAAGACAAACAAAAAGCCCCUCAAACAGUGAAGAAGUAUAUACCAUGGAUCAUUGAAAAGAAUGCUUAUUUUUCGUGAGUAUCUUUCUUUUUUUCUUUUUUCCUUUUUUUUGUUUUUUGUUUUUUGUUUUGUUUUUCAAGACAGGGUUUCUCUGUGUAGCCCUGGCUGUCCUGGAACUCACUCUGUAGACCAGGCUGGCCUCGAACUCAAGAAAUCCACCUGCCUCUGCCUCCCGAGUACUGGGAUCAAAGGCGUGUGCCGCCACCACCACCCGGCUUUUUUUUUUAAGAUUUAUUUAUUAUUAUUUCUAAGUACACUGUAACUGUCUUUGUACACACCAGAAGAGGGCGUCAGAUCUUAUUACAUGGUAGUUAUGAGCCACCAUGUGGUUGCUGGGAUUUGAACUCAGGACCUUCGGAAGAGCAGUCAGUGCUCUUAACCGCUGAGCCAUCUCUCCAGCCCCCGUGAGUAUCUUUAUUAAAUGCAGCAUUUUAUCAUAUUGCUGAAGUUUUUUGAUGUGGUUAUAUGACUUGUUUGUAUAUGUGCGUGUGUGUGAAGGACAACCUUAGCUGUCUUUCUGGAGUUGCUACCACCUUGCCUUU